rnacentral:rRNA from 1 species
AGAGUUUGAUCCUGGCUCAGGAUGAACGCUGGCGGCGUGCUUAACACAUGCAAGUCGAACGAACCUUCGGGUUAGUGGCGGACGGGUGAGUAACGCGUGAGAAUCUGCCCUCAGGAGGGGGAUAACGGUUGGAAACGACCGCUAAUACCCCAUAUGCCGAUAGGUGAAAUGAAUUUCGCCUGAGGAUGAGCUCGCGUCUGAUUAGCUUGUUGGUGAGGUAAUGGCUCACCAAGGCUUCGAUCAGUAGCUGGUCUGAGAGGAUGAUCAGCCACACUGGGACUGAGACACGGCCCAGACUCCUACGGGAGGCAGCAGUGGGGAAUUUUCCGCAAUGGGCGCAAGCCUGACGGAGCAACGCCGCGUGAGGGACGAAGGCCUCUGGGCUGUAAACCUCUUUUCUCAAGGAAGAAGAUAUGACGGUACUUGAGGAAUAAGCCACGGCUAAUUCCGUGCCAGCAGCCGCGGUAAUACGGGAGUGGCAAGCGUUAUCCGGAAUUAUUGGGCGUAAAGCGUCCGCAGGCGGCCUUUCAAGUCUGCUGUUAAAGCGUGGAGCUUAACUCCAUUAUGGCAGUGGAAACUGAUCGGCUAGAGUAUGGUAGGGGCAGAGGGAAUUCCCGGUGUAGCGGUGAAAUGCGUAGAUAUCGGGAAGAACACCAGUGGCGAAGGCGCUCUGCUGGGCCAUUACUGACGCUCAUGGACGAAAGCCAGGGGAGCGAAAGGGAUUAGAUACCCCUGUAGUCCUGGCCGUAAACGAUGAACACUAGGUGUCGGGGGAAUCGACCCCUUCGGUGUCGUAGCUAACGCGUUAAGUGUUCCGCCUGGGGAGUACGCACGCAAGUGUGAAACUCAAAGGAAUUGACGGGGGCCCGCACAAGCGGUGGAGUAUGUGGUUUAAUUCGAUGCAACGCGAAGAACCUUACCAGGGUUUGACAUCCUGAGAACCUCUUAGAAAUUUGAGGGUGCCUUCGGGAAUUCAGUGACAGGUGGUGCAUGGCUGUCGUCAGCUCGUGUCGUGAGAUGUUGGGUUAAGUCCCGCAACGAGCGCAACCCACGUUUUUAGUUGCCAGCAUUUAGUUGGGCACUCUAGAAAGACCGCCGGUGAUAAACCGGAGGAAGGUGUGGAUGACGUCAAGUCAUCAUGCCCCUUACACCCUGGGCUACACACGUACUACAAUGCUACGGACAAAGGGCAGCAAACUCGCGAGAGCUAGCAAAUCCCAUAAACCGUGGCUCAGUUCAGAUCGUAGGCUGCAACUCGCCUACGUGAAGUAGGAAUCGCUAGUAAUCGCAGGUCAGCAUACUGCGGUGAAUACGUUCCCGGGCCUUGUACACACCGCCCGUCACACCAUGGAAGUUGGCCAUGCCCGAAGUCGUUACUCCAACCCUUGUGGAGGAGGACGCCGAAGGUGGGGCUAAUGACUGGGGUGAAGUCGUAACAAGGUAGCCGUACCGGAAGGUGCGGCUG